UGUUCACAGUAGGCUGUUGCAACGCCAAAAAAACAAAUCAUGAAAGUGAAACCACUUUCACACAACAGUUCCGAUUCGAUUUGGACUUUUACUCCAAUUGGUUACAAAAUCUGUUUAAUUAAAACUAAGUGUAGCACAAAACGGCUUAAUCAAGGCGGUAUAUUAAUAUUAAUUACAACUCCCAAAAAGGCUAUUCAGAUAUAAAAAGCCCCAACCGGUGAAUCGAACCCCAAAAAACAGACAUGGAGCAUGACAUUGUACGCAAGUAUUCCGACGAUCGAGUCAAAAUUUCCGGAUGGGCCGAACGCAUCCAGCAGUACCCGUACGACUGCUGCCUGUGGAACAGGGUGGGAGGAGGAGCGGCUUAUCGUACCUUCGGCUACACCACCAAACACUUCAUCCCGCGAACCACUGCGCAGGCAAUGAGCGAUACCGUCUGGGGUCACUUUCAGGAGCAGCAGCAGCAGCAGCAUCAGCUGGCAUGCAUACGUGCGAAGAAGACGAUCCCGCCCGAGGUCAAACGGUGUCCAUACAUUACCAGCUAUCAGCGUGACUAUUUCGAUCGAUUUCCUGCCUUCCGGAAGUUGAUGAUGAUAAAUGCGCUCCAAAGUAGAAAGUGUUGAAAGACGCAACCCACAAUAGCGGCGUGAGGGAAGCGGCGUCUCUAAAUUGAAAGAUGAUGAUUAUUUAUUCGCUCUCGGGUCGACGGGCGCACCAUAUGGUUCCUUUCAAUGGAUUUGGUACAUGGAAAACGGCGGUGUGUAGAUUUGAGGGCUGCACAACGAAUUUUCAAAGAUCCUUUCAUAUCUGAAAAGUACGCUGAAGUUAUAGACCUCGAAACCUCGAAACGGGGAUGCUGAAUCCAGUACGGAACCUACCAUGAACCCAUACCGGUCUUGGCACUGAUCAUGAUCCCAUACCGGUCCUGGAAUCGAUUAUGAACACAUACCUGCCCUGGAACAAAGCAUGAACCCGUACCAGUCCUCAAACCGAGCAUGAAAUCUUACCGGUUCUAGACGUGAUACUGAGCUCAUAUUCGUCCUGACAUAGCUUCCGAUUUAAACCCUUUCCUGGAACUGUACCUGUAAUCCUGUCACAAAAUCUGAAACCGAUACCAUUACAGUUCAAGUGAAAAAACCAUAUCCGGCAGUACAUGUACACUGUAGGAAUGGCGUAGGAAUUAGUGUAGGAAUUCAGCGUAGGAAAUAGCAUUGGAAUUCCGAAUCCAGAACGAAACUUGCACCUGAGGAUUAGUGUAGCGAAAUAGCGUAGGAAUUUUAGUAGAAUUGGUAUAUUAAUCAAUAAUAGUCACGACGCUAGUUUUUU